UACGGGGGGGGCAAGCGUUGUUCGGAAUUACUGGGCGUAAAGGGCUCGUAGGCGGCCAACUAAGUCAGACGUGAAAUCCCCGGGCUUAACCUGGGAACUGCAUUUGUGACUGCAUGGCUGGAGUGCGGCAGAGGGGGGUGGAAUUCCGCGUGUAGCAGUGAAAUGCGUAGAGAUGCGGAGGAACACCGAUGGCGAAGGCAGCCCCCUGGGCCAACACUGACGCUCAGGCACGAAAGCGUGGGGAGCAAACAGG
rnacentral:rRNA from 1 species